rnacentral:tRNA from 1 species
GCCCACGUAGCUCAGUCGGUAGAGCACAUUCUUGGUAAGAAUGAGGUCAUCGGUUCGAUCCCGAUCGUGGGCUCCA